CCUACGGGGGGCAGCAGUGGGGGAUAUUGCACAAUGGGGGGAACCCUGAUGCAGCGACGCCGCGUGGGUGAAGAAGCGCCUCGGCGCGUAAAGCCCUGUCAGCAGGGAAGAAAAUGACGGUACCUGAAGAAGAAGCCCCGGCUAACUACGUGCCAGCAGCCGCGGUAAUACGUAGGGGGCAAGCGUUAUCCGGAUUUACUGGGUGUAAAGGGAGCGUAGACGGAAAGGCAAGUCAGAAGUGAAAACCCAAGGCUCAACCAUGGGACUGCUUUUGAAACUGUCAAACUAGAGUACGGGAGAGGUAA
rnacentral:rRNA from 1 species